GACGAACGCUGGCGGCGCGCCUAACACAUGCAAGUCGAACGAGCGAGAGAGAGCUUGCUUUCUCGAGCGAGUGGCGAACGGGUGAGUAACGCGUGAGGAACCUGCCUCAAAGAGGGGGACAACAGUUGGAAACGACUGCUAAUACCGCAUAAGCCCACGGCUCGGCAUCGAGCAGGGGGAAAAGGAGCAAUCCGCUUUGAGAUGGCCUCGCGUCCGAUUAGCUAGUUGGUGAGGUAACGGCCCACCAAGGCGACGAUCGGUAGCCGGACUGAGAGGUUGAACGGCCACAUUGGGACUGAGACACGGCCCAGACUCCUACGGGAGGCAGCAGUGGGGAAUAUUGCACAAUGGGGGAAACCCUGAUGCAGCGACGCCGCGUGGAGGAAGAAGGUCUUCGGAUUGUAAACUCCUGUUGUUGGGGAAGAUAAUGACGUUACCCAACAAGGAAGUGACGGCUAACUACGUG
rnacentral:rRNA from 1 species